rnacentral:lncRNA from 13 species
CGUGAAGCAAGCAGACGCCGUGGCGGUGUUGUCGGAGAGAGCGAAAGCGGCGGCCAGAGGUGGCGGCGCGGUCCCAUGGAGCAGAAGAGGAGUCGUGUCCCAGGGAGCAGAAGCUGCGGCGUCCAGAAGUGGUGGUGCGGUCCCAGCGAGCUUCGGAGAAGCCGUGGUGGCUUCCACGUAAUGGGGGAGCAGGAGGCAGGUCUCCGCGGUUCAUCUCGGUUGCUCCGCAUGACACUGUUUCAUCAUUUUGGUGGCUGAAGAAUAUUCCCUAGUGUAUGCAUACGAGAGUUUCUUGAUCCCUCUGUGGAUGGACAGAGGGAGUCUUGCUCUGUCACCAGGCUGGAGUGCACUGGCCCAUUUUUGGCUUCCUGCAACCUCCGCUUCCUGGAUUCAAGCAAUUCUUCCUCCUAUGCCUCUGGAGGAUCUGGGACCACAGUCCCCUUGUAGGUCACCCAUGGGGAAUUGCCUAGGCCCCAGGGCUGGCCUCAUUUGUGCCUGGUGCCAGGAGGCAGUGGCGUCAUGUUGUGAGACUCAGUCUGUGGCAGCUGCAAACACCAGCAUCCACUACUGCAGAGCCUGCCAUGUUACAUCCAGGAGUGGUGGAGGUCCAGGACGUGCAGACCAUCAAGUCAAAGCAGCACAAAGGUUUGGCUGGUCGUGUCAGGAGCUGGGUACAAAAAAAACGGAGGCGUAAGAAAAUUUGCCCCAAUGAAAAUGAAGCUCCUGGUCAAGAUGCAAAGGAGUGUACAACUGAAAAGCUUCAGGAGGAGACGUCACCUGACAUAGAAAAUGCUACAGGUGAAUAUCACCACACUCCUGCUGAUGACUCAGAAGAGUGUACACUUGGCAAUGAGGAGGAGGUGGUGGCCUCUGACACGGAGAAGCCUGCGGCCCAGCAUGACCGCCGUCCUGUUGAGGUCCUACAGGGCCUCAUUUUAGAAGGCAUUGAAGAAGAUGAGAUGCCCCACGACCUGGAGAAGCCUGCGGCCCAGCAUGACCGCCGUUUUGUUGAGGUCAUACAGGACCUUAUCUUAGAAGACGUUGAAGAUGUUGAGAUGCCCCUUGAUGUGGACACAGUGACGGCCUCAGUUGUCUGCCGUAGUGCCGGUGUUCCAUCUGAAGGUGUGACUCUGCUGAAUCAUCAUCCAUGGCUGGGACAUCCGGGGCAUCAUCCACAGAUGGGCAUCUUCCACAGCUGGGGCAUCAUCCAUGCCUGGGGCAUCAUCCACAGAUGGGCAUCAUCCACACCUGGAGCAUCAUCCACUGCUGGGGCAUCCACUGCUGGGGCAUCAUCCACUCCUGGGGCAUCAUCCACUCCUGGGGCAUCAUCCACUGCUGGGACAUCAUCCACUGCUGGGACACAUCCAUGCCUGGAGCAUCAUCCACUGCUGGGACAUCAUCCACUGCUGGGGCAUCAUCCAUGCCUGGGGCAUCAUCCACUGCUGGGACAGCAUCCACGCCUGGGGCAUCCACUGCUGGGCCAUCAUCCACUGCUGCGGCAUCAUGCACAGAUGGGCAUCAUCCACACCUGGAGCAUCAUCCACUGCUGCAGCAUCGUCCACAGAUGGGCAUCAUCCAUGCCUGGGGCAUCCACAGAUGGGGCAUCUUCCAUGCCUGGGGCAUCAUCCAUGCCUGGAGCAUCAUCCAUUGCUGCAUCACUGCUGGGGCAUCAUCCAUGCCUGGGGAAUCAUUCACUGCUGUGGCAUCAUCCAUGCCUGGGGAAUCAUCCACUGCUGGGGCAUCAUCCACACCUGGGCAUCCACUGCUGGGGCAUCUUCCACACCUGGGGCAUCAUCCACACCUGGGGUAUCCAUUUCUGUGGCAUCUUUCACGCCUGGGACAUCAUCCACCGCUGGGGCAUCACCCACUGCUGGGGCAUCAUCCUCUCCUGGGGCAUCCACAGCUGGGGCAUCAUCCACGCCUGGAGCAUCAUCCACUGCUGUGGCAUCACUGCUGGGGCAUCAUCCACGCCUGGGGCAUCAUCCACUGCUGUGGCAUCAUCCAUAGCUGGGGCAUCAUCCAUGCCUCUGGUAGCUCUGCAGGAAGGUUGCCCACCUCAUCCUUGCUUUCUCCAGGUUCCAGAGGCUCCCAUUUAAAGAGCAUCUCUCCCCACUCUGCCUCACCCAACACCAGCUCUCCUGUACCUACCGGGUUUCUAAAUGCUUUCUUCCACCUUCACCUCAUUGGAUUCACGACUCUGGAAAAUAGUAAAAAAUUAUAA